AAAAGAUCAACUCUCAACUUGUCUUGACCUACCAGGACUCAUCCCUUUAACUUGUCAAAAUGAGGUUCCCUGCUCAGCUCCUGGGGCUCCUCAUACUCUGGUUUCCAGGAUCCAGUGGGGAAGUUGUAUUGACACAGACCCCACUGUCCCUGUCCAUCAGUCCCAGAGAGCCGGCUUCCAUCUCCUGCCGGGCCAGUCAGAGCCUCCUGCACAGUAAUAGAUACAAUUAUUUGCCUUGGUACCUGCAGAAGCCAGGCCAGUCUCCACAGCUUCUGAUCUACUUUGCCACUAACCGUUUCGCUGGGGUCCCAGACAGGUUCAGUGGCAGCGGGUCAGGGACAGAUUUCACCCUGAGGAUCAGCAGGGUGGAGGCUGAUGAUGUGGGGGUUUAUUACUGCGGGCAAAGUUUAUAUGCUCCUCACACAGUGGUUCAGCCUAGAACAGAAACCUCCUGGUGGGGUGGCCCAGCUGCCCACACAUGUGUUGCUUGUCUGGGGAGUAGGCAGAGCAGAGUCUCCCUGUCAGUGCAAGAGGGAGAUGAUGAGGAGCUCAAGGAAUAG